rnacentral:rRNA from 1 species
AUUGAACGCUGGCGGCAGGCCUAACACAUGCAAGUCGAGCGGAUGAGUGUAGCUUGCUCCAUGAUUCAGCGGCGGACGGGUGAGUAAGGCCUAGGAAUCUGCCUGGUAGUGGGGGACAACGUUUCGCAAGGAACGCUAAUACCGCAUACGUCCUACGAGAGAAAGUGGGGGAUCUUCGGACCUCACGCUAUCAGAUGAGCCGAGGUCGGAUUAGCUAGUUGGGGAGGUAAAGGCUCACCAUGGCGACGAUCCGUAACUGGUCUGAGAGGAUGAACAGUCACACUGGAACUGAGGCACGGUCCAGACUCCUACGGGAGGCAGCAGUGGGGAAUAUUGGACAAUGGGGGAAAGCCUGAUCCAGCCAUGCCGCGGGUGUGAAGAAGGUCUUCGGAUUGUAAAGCACUUUAAGUUGGGAGGAAGGGCAGUAAGUUAAUACCUUGCUGUUUUGACGUUACCAACAGAAUAAGCACCGGCUAACUUCGUGCCAGCAGCCGCCGUAAGAC